GAGGGAGGGGCCCAGCGGGGGAUAAAAGGGCAACAGACCCAGUGACUAGAGCUCAUGGCUAUAACUCUUUGCCUCAGGGGGAAACAAAGGAAAUUCCUAACUGGUGAACUGCUUCAAGGAUAAGGGGAGAAAGAUCUCUGAAACACCAUUACAGAUGAAACAAGAGAACCCCCAGAGUGGAGCGGCCAGUGGUCUCCCCUAUACACAGGAUUUAGCCAAAGAUCAGUCCCACCCAGAGAGCCAGAUGUUGAUCCACAAGAGCAUUAAUACAGACUCACUGGAGAAUUUGGGUACAGAUUCCGAGGAGAAGAAUUUCUCUCAAAUUAAUAGUUUUGCCGUAAACCAAAAAGGCUUGAAACCCUUCCCUUGUACUGAAUCUGCUAAAGAUCCCUCACACCAGCAACUCCUCACAGGGGAGAAACCAUUCACUUGCUCAGAGUGUGGGAAAGAAUUUUUUGAUAGGUCCAGCCUUUAUAGACACCAGAAAAUCCACACAGGGGAGAAACAUUUCUCUUGUAAAGUAUGUGGAAAACACUUUUCUCAUAGGUCCAGCCUUUAUAGACACCAGAAAAUCCACACAGGGGAGAAACCUUUCUCUUGCACAGAAUGUGGGAAAGAAUUCUUUCGAAAAAGCAACCUUCACUUACACCUGAGAAUCCACACUGGGGAGAAACCCUUCUCUUGUACAGAAUGUGGGAAAGAAUUUUCUGAUAGGUCCCACCUUAACUCACACCUGAAAAUCCACACAGGGGAGAAACCUUACUUUUGUACAGAAUGUGGGAAAGAAUUUUCUGAUAGGUCCAACUUUAACUCACACCAGAAAAAACACACAGAGGACAAACCUUUCUAUUGUACAGAAUGUGGGAAAGAAUUUUCUGAUAGGUCCAGCCUUCACAGACACCUGAUAAUCCACACAGGGGAGAAACCUUUCUCUUGUACAGAAUGUGGGAAAGACUUUUCUGAUAGGUCCAGCCUUCGCUCACACCUGAAAAUCCACACAGGCGAGAAACCUUUCUCUUGUACAGAAUGUGGGAAAGAAUUCUCUCGGCAAAGCCACCUUGACAGACACCAGAAAAACCACACAGGCGAGAAACCUUUCUCUUGUACAGAAUGUGGGAAAGAAUUUUCUGAUAGGUCCAGCCUUCACAGACACCUGAAAAUCCACACAGGGGAGAAACCUUUCUCUUGUACAGAAUGUGGGAAAGAAUUCUCUAGAAAAAGCAACCUUCACACACACCAGAAAAUCCACACAGGAGAGAAACCUUUCUCUUGUACAGAAUGUGGGAAAGAAUUUUCUUAUAGCUACAGUCUUCACUCACACCAGAAAAUCCAUACAGGGGAGAAACCUUUCUCUUGUACAGAAUGUGGGAAAGAAUUUUCUUAUAGCUACAGUCUUCACUCACACCAGAAAACCCAUACAGGGGAGAAACCUUUCUCUUGUACAGAAUGUGGGAAAGAAUUUUAUCAUAGCUACAGCCUUCACUCACACCAGAAAAUCCACACAGGGGAGAAACCUUUCUAUUGUACAGAAUGUGGGAAAGAAUUUUUUGAUAGGUCCAGCCUUCACUCACACCAGAAAAUCCACACAGGGGAGAAACCUUUCUAUUGUACAGAAUGUGGGAAAGAAUUUUCUGAUAGGUCCCACCUUCACAGACACCUGAAAAUCCACACAGGGGUGAAACCUUUCUCUUGUACAGAAUGUGGGAAAGAAUUCUCUCAAAAAAGCAACCUUCACUCACAUCAGAAAAUCCACACAGGGGAGAAACCUUUCUCUUGUACAGAGUGUGGGAAAGAAUUUUCUCAUAGGUCCAGCCUUCGCUCACACCUGAGAAUCCACACAGGGGAGAAACCUUUCUCUUGCACAGAAUGUGGCAAAGAAUUCUCUCAAAAAAGCCACCUUCACUCACACCUGAGAAUCCACACCGGGAGAAACCUUUCCCUUGUACAGAAUGUGGGAAAGAAUUUCCUAUAGGUCCAGCCUUCACUCACACCUGAGAAUCCACACAGGAGAGAAACCAUUUUCUUGCACAGAAUGUGGGAAACAAUACACUUUGUACAGCUUUUGGUUACACCCAAAACAGAAAAGAAUCUUUCUACUUUCAGCUGAUCGCAGAAUGGGGGAAAGACCGAGGAAGAACAAAUGAGAAGAGAGUGAUGUGAAUUUUUAUCAUAUUAGGUUCUUCAAUUACAUGUAAAAUUAAAGUCUGUUCAUUACUAGUUGUUUUUGUUUGCUGAAUUGAACCCAUAUGUGAUGUGAAAAACAAUCAAACUAUCUCUUUCCUGUAAUUUAUACAUUUCUUUGGUAAUAUCCCAAGAUUUUAUAUCUAAUCUAAUAUGGGAGAUUGUCUUCUUCUUCCAAGAAAGAAAAAUGAAAUUCCUCUCAGAUUUUGUGAAACAUUCCAUGUUACAUUGGCAAAGCAGUGGGGAAACCUGGUAAUGAAGGAGAUUCUGUUUAAAUAAAGUUUUCUGAGUUUCAUUGCA